rnacentral:rRNA from 1 species
GACGAACGCUGGCGGCGUGCCUAAUACAUGCAAGUAGAACGCACAGUUUAUACCGUAGCUUGCUACACCAUAAACUGUGAGUUGCGAACGGGUGAGUAACGCGUAGGUAACCUGCCUGGUAGCGGGGGAUAACUAUUGGAAACGAUAGCUAAUACCGCAUAAUAUUAAUUAUUGCAUGAUAAUUGAUUGAAAGAUGCAAUUGCAUCACUACCAGAUGGACCUGCGUUGUAUUAGCUAGUAGGUGAGGUAACGGCUCACCUAGGCGACGAUACAUAGCCGACCUGAGAGGGUGAUCGGCCACACUGGGACUGAGACACGGCCCAGACUCCUACGGGAGGCAGCAGUAGGGAAUCUUCGGCAAUGGACGAAAGUCUGACCGAGCAACGCCGCGUGAGUGAAGAAGGUUUUCGGAUCGUAAAGCUCUGUUGUAAGAGAAGAACGGGUGUGAGAGUGGAAAGUUCACACUGUGAUGGUAUCUUACCAGAAAGGGACGGCUAACUACGUG